GAUGAAGAACGCAGCGAAAUGCGAUAAGUAAUGUGAAUUGCAGAAUUCAGUGAAUCAUCGAAUCUUUGAACGCACAUUGCGCCCCUUGGUAUUCCGAGGGGCAUGCCUAUUCGAGCGUCAUUAUCACCCCACAAGCUCCGGCUUGGUGUUGAGGCCUGCUGUAAAGGCACCCUCUAAAAUCAGUGGCAGUGCUGUCAGGCUCUAAGCGUAGUAAUUCUCUCGCUACAGGGUCCCGGUGGACACUCGCCAGAACCCCCCCAUUUUUUAAUGAUUGACCUCGGAUUAGGUAGGGAUACCCGCUGAACUUAAGCAUAUCAAUAAGCGGAGGA
rnacentral:misc_RNA from 1 species